UUAAGUUAUUAAGGGCGCACGGUGGAUGCCUUGGCACUAGAAGCCGAUGAAGGACGUUACUAACGACGAUAUGCUUUGGGUAGCUGUAAGUAAGCGUUGAUCCAGAGAUUUCCGAAUGGGGGAACCCAACAUGAGUUAUGUCAUGUUAUCGACAUGUGAAUUCAUAGCAUGUCAGAAGGCAGACCCGGAGAACUGAAACAUCUUAGUACCCGGAGGAAGAGAAAGAAAAAUCGAUUCCCUGAGUAGCGGCGAGCGAAACGGGAAGAGCCCAAACCAACAAGCUUGCUUGUUGGGGUUGUAGGACACUCUAUACGGAGUUACAAAAGAACAUGUUAGACGAAUCAUCUGGAAAGAUGAAUCAAAGAAGGUAAUAAUCCUGUAGUCGAAAACAUAUUCUCUCUUGAGUGGAUCCUGAGUACGACGGAGCACGUGAAAUUCCGUCGGAAUCUGGGAGGACCAUCUCCUAAGGCUAAAUACUCUCUAGUGACCGAUAGUGAACCAGUACCGUGAGGGAAAGGUGAAAAGUACCCCGGAAGGGGAGUGAAAGAGAACUUGAAACCGUGUGCUUACAAGUAGUCAGAGCCCGUUAAUGGGUGAUGGCGUGCCUUUUGUAGAAUGAACCGGCGAGUUACGAUCUGAUGCAAGGUUAAGCAGCAAAUGUGGAGCCGCAGCGAAAGCGAGUCUGAAUAGGGCGUUGAGUAUUUGGUCGUAGACCCGAAACCAGGUGAUCUACCCUUGGUCAGGUUGAAGUUCAGGUAACACUGAAUGGAGGACCGAACCGACUUACGUUGAAAAGUGAGCGGAUGAACUGAGGGUAGCGGAGAAAUUCCAAUCGAACUUGGAGAUAGCUGGUUCUCUCCGAAAUAGCUUUAGGGCUAGCCUCAAGUGAUGAUUAUUGGAGGUAGAGCACUGUUUGGACGAGGGGCCCCUCUCGGGUUACCGAAUUCAGACAAACUCCGAAUGCCAAUUAAUUUAACUUGGGAGUCAGAACAUGGGUGAUAAGGUCCGUGUUCGAAAGGGAAACAGCCCAGACCACCAGCUAAGGUCCCAAAAUAUAUGUUAAGUGGAAAAGGAUGUGGCGUUGCCCAGACAACUAGGAUGUUGGCUUAGAAGCAGCCAUCAUUUAAAGAGUGCGUAAUAGCUCACUAGUCGAGUGACACUGCGCCGAAAAUGUACCGGGGCUAAACAUAUUACCGAAGCUGUGGAUUGUCCUUUGGACAAUGGUAGGAGAGCGUUCUAAGGGCGUCGAAGCAUGAUCGCAAGGACAUGUGGAGCGCUUAGAAGUGAGAAUGCCGGUGUGAGUAGCGAAAGACGGGUGAGAAUCCCGUCCACCGAUUGACUAAGGUUUCCAGAGGAAGGCUCGUCCGCUCUGGGUUAGUCGGGUCCUAAGCUGAGGCCGACAGGCGUAGGCGAUGGAUAACAGGUUGAUAUUCCUGUACCACCUAGUAUCGUUUUAAUCGAUGGGGGGACGCAGUAGGAUAGGCGAAGCGUGCUGUUGGAGUGCACGUCCAAGCAGUAAGGCUGAGUGUUAGGCAAAUCCGGCACUCAUAAGGCUGAGCUGUGAUGGGGAGAGGAAAUUGUUUCCUCGAGUCGUUGAUUUCACACUGCCGAGAAAAGCCUCUAGAUAGAUAACAGGUGCCCGUACCGCAAACCGACACAGGUAGUCAAGAUGAGAAUUCUAAGGUGAGCGAGCGAACUCUCGUUAAGGAACUCGGCAAAAUGACCCCGUAACUUCGGGAGAAGGGGUGCUCUUUAGGGUUCACGCUCAGAAGAGCCGCAGUGAAUAGGCCCAAGCGACUGUUUAUCAAAAACACAGGUCUCUGCUAAACCGUAAGGUGAUGUAUAGGGGCUGACGCCUGCCCGGUGCUGGAAGGUUAAGAGGAGUGGUUAGCUUCUGCGAAGCUACGAAUCGAAGCCCCAGUAAACGGCGGCCGUAACUAUAACGGUCCUAAGGUAGCGAAAUUCCUUGUCGGGUAAGUUCCGACCCGCACGAAAGGCGUAACGAUUUGGGCACUGUCUCAACGAGAGACUCGGUGAAAUCAUAGUACCUGUGAAGAUGCAGGUUACCCGCGACAGGACGGAAAGACCCCGUGGAGCUUUACUGUAGCCUGAUAUUGAAAUUCGGCACAGCUUGUACAGGAUAGGUAGGAGCCUUUGAAACGUGAGCGCUAGCUUACGUGGAGGCGUUGGUGGGAUACUACCCUAGCUGUGUUGGCUUUCUAACCCGCACCACUUAUCGUGGUGGGAGACAGUGUCAGGCGGGCAGUUUGACUGGGGCGGUCGCCUCCUAAAAGGUAACGGAGGCGCUCAAAGGUUCCCUCAGAAUGGUUGGAAAUCAUUCAUAGAGUGUAAAGGCA
rnacentral:rRNA from 1 species